rnacentral:rRNA from 1 species
AGUGAACGCUGGCGGUAGGCCUAACACAUGCAAGUCGAACGGCAGCACAGUAAGAGCUUGCUCUUACGGGUGGCGAGUGGCGGACGGGUGAGGAAUACAUCGGAAUCUACUUUUUCGUGGGGGAUAACGUAGGGAAACUUACGCUAAUACCGCAUACGACCUACUGGUGAAAGCAGGGUAUCUUCGGACCUUGCGCGAUUGAAUGAGCCGAUGUCGGAUUAGCUAGUUGGCGGGGUAAAGGCCCACCAAGGCGACGAUCCGUAGCUGGUCUGAGAGGAUGAUAAGCCACACUGGAACUGAGACACGGGCCAGACUCCUAAGGGAGGCAGCAGUGGGGAAUAUUGGACAAUGGGCGCAAGCCUGAUCCAGCCAUACCGCGUGGGUGAAGAAGGCCUUCGGGUUGUAAAGCCCUUUUGUUGGGAAAGAAAAGCAGCAGGUUAAUAACCCGCUGUUCUGACGGUACCCAAAGAAUAAGCACCGGCUAACUUCGUG